UAUACUGAUUGGAAUUAUCAGUUGGCAUUCACAGCUGCUCACUCUUCAAAUGGCAAGCUAUUGGGAAUGAAAACUCAUCAUUUAUAGGAACAACUAUCAUUUACUUUUGUGUAAUACAACAGAGCAAGAAAGUCUGACUUGGAGAAACAGGGCUAUUCACAAACCAUCUUGACAGUUGCUGAAGUCAUUUAUCUGAGCCACCAGCAAGAGCUUCUCAACCAUGAAGACAAUUUUGGAGAGUUUACCUGGGGAAGAGGAGUUUAGGGUACAUGCCUGUGCAGAACUCCAGAGAAAGUAUCGGGAGAGAGAGAGAGGGCAGGCGGUCAGUCAUUUGGAGAUGGUGUCUGGGCUC